ACGCUGGACUGAAACGCGGCUUAAGUUUUUUCCGCUGAUUCGCAAAAGAUGCACUUUUGAGGCGCAGUGUUUGCACCCACGCCCCCCGAGUGUCCGAGUUCCGAGUUUGAGUGCAGCAGUGACAGUGGCCGAGUGGCAGUCGGAUAAGCCAGGAAAAGUGCGCGGAACGAGGCGAGCGGAGCGAGAUAUUCGGCCAGCGCGUCCAACUGAAAAGCGGUGGAGAUUCGUUCAGCCUCACCACUGGGCGGAAAAGCGGAGGGGAAAACUGAAAACGAAACCACCAUUGCCAGCCGCAUUUCUGCAAAGUAAGAACUCUAUUCGUGGAGAAACGGCUUCUCCAUUGACUUCCGAUUCUGCGCCAAGAACAGACGGGGAUAAUGGAGUCACAGAAGCGGCCUUCAUUGCAUUUACUCACGGAUGUGACAGCAGCAGGAGUUCCGGGAUCUGGAGGAGCUGAGAUGUCGCCCACUUCCGGGUUCCUGCCGGACAUGCCGCAGUGGAAGAAGGACCUCAUCCAGCGCCGGAAGACCAAUGUGGCGCGCACUCAGGCGGCGGCCAUUGCAUCGCCCGUCGACGGCAGUUGUGGGGCUUUGGGUGGGGAGUCAACCGCUGGCACCGUUCCAAAUCCAAAUGCAAAUGCAGAAUCCUUGGAACUGGCGACAAUCAGUAGCGGCACUAGUCAUAAAAGAACUAUAACGACGUCGGCGGCGGCAGAGGAAAAGUCUGAGAAAUACUUAACUGGAAAAGACUCUGUUGCUGCACCGCUCGCACCUGAGCCGGCAGCAGCAAUUGCACCCAUACCAAAGCAGCGAUCGAGUUUACUACUCAACACGACUUCCAUAAGAAGCCAGGAGGAGGAGCGGGAGGGAGAGAUUCUAAAUUUGGAUCUCAGAGAGCGCGAGCGGGAGAGCCAGAGCGAGCCGGCUGCUGCUGUGGGGAGUUUGUCGCGAGGUGAAGUUGAAACUGGCACAGCAGCAACAGCAGCAGCGACAACUGGAGCAUUAACAAAUACACCGUCGUCAGCAAAUCAAAAUCCGAACCAAAAUCAUUUGCUAACGAAAUGCAAACCGGGCCAGAGCGUUGCUGAGGGCGAGCCUUUAGCCAGCAGCAGCAAGACCAAGACCAUUUCCAUUUCGGACAAGCUCCAGAGCAACAAAUUCAUCCAACAGCAGCAGCAGCAACAACAACAGCAGCAGCAACAACUGUCGCCCAGCAAGGUAACGGUAAACGCGACAAUGGUCGCCAUGCAAGAGAUGAAGAAGACCACAAAACAAAAUGGCCAACACCACCGACACAUAGCAGGCAAGAUGGCGGCACCUGGCGAGGAUUCGGAGGAGCACCAGUCGGCCACACUGCCAGAGACGCUGGAGGACCUAAGCUACGGCCCCGGCAUCGUGUCCAAGCUGCGCUGCCGCUACCUUAGUCUGGCCCUGCGCGAGUCCCGUCAGCAGAGCAGCAAGCAGCGGCUGCAGCGCUCCACCAGCCUCAACACUCUGCUGGAUCGCGAGGAUGACGAGGGCGAGGCGGAGAACGAGGUGGAGGCGGCGGCGGCGGGUGCUGCCACCCAAGUGCGUGCCAAAUCGACACCGCCACCUAUUCUGGGGGCGAAGCCCCAGGCUAGCAAGCCCCCCCAGCGUCCCGUGAGCCUGGGUGCAAAUGGAACAGUCGGCGGCGGUGGCAGUGUCAUUGCCGGCAACGCCGCUGGUCCCAAGUCGGAGGAGGUGCAGGCCAACGGAGGAUCGGGCAAUCGUUCGCGACAUUUCAAGCGCGGCAACGAGGUAAUGAAGCGCGCCCGUUCCGUGGAGGCGUUGCUAUGCGAGAAGUCGCCCUGGAACAGUCAGCGAAUCAGCGUUGCUCCAACAGCUCCUGUGGCCUCCUCCAAGGUGGCGGCCACAUCCCCUGCCACCGCCACCGCUGCAUCGCCCACCUGCGUCACCAUCGAGGACAAAAUCCACAAUGCCCGCGAGCGACUGCACAGCGGCACGGAUACGGCGCCGCCCAAGCGCCUGGCCUCCAUAAUCGAUGACACGGAGCGUCCGCCGCCCGAUCUUGUCAAGCAAACGCUGAAGAUGUUCGAGGCGAGUGCCAAUAGGAGGCCGCGUACCGCCCAUCGCUCCAAUGGAGUGGGCGGCGUGGCCAGCAAGGUGGCCAGCUAUAAGUCGAUCAACAACAAGUCGUUGUCGGCGCCGGCGCCCAGUCUUGGCUUUGCCUCCUCCACGCCGCUGCGCCCGACCCACGCCCAUCCGGACAUCAUACCCCGCCAGGUAGCAGGUGGUGCCCAGGAUUCGCCCAUGUCCACCCUCAGCAUAAUGAUGCGACGCAUGGAUCUAGUGGAUCCCGAGACGCCCGACAAAAAGGAGGCCACACCGCAGAGCGAGGCGCCGAGCGAGACUGAGCGAACCGAAGGCGACGAGGGCGAUGGAGAAGCCACUGCCGAUGCCGAUCACGAUCGCAUCGACGAUGACGACAAUCGCGACCACAACAACGACGACGAUGGCGACAGCAGCGACAACAAUGAGCAACGCGAUAAAAUGGGCGCGGCGGCAGGCGAUAAGCCUAAGCCCCCAGCGGAAACAACAGCAACGACGGCAUCGGCGGCGGCGGUAGCGGGAGGCGCCCAACAGCGAUCAUUUGCCAGUGCCUCGACGGAGAACGCGCAUGUGGCCAGCGGCGGCGGGAGUGCAAGUGGAGUGCAAGUGCGCAAACUAAACAGUAGCGAGUCCCUGCCAACAGUGACAACCAAGCAGAUCGGAGUGAUCCGGCCACUGUUUAAUAGCCAGUCGGGUGGAGCCGGGAGCAGCAGCAGCACACCGCUGACAAGUCGCGAAAUCGAAAAGAAUCGCAUCAAUGAGAUGAAGAAGUCAACGGCAACGGAAGCCGGCGCUGGCGCGGGCGCAGUAGCUGGCGCUGCAGCUGGAUCUGGUAUUGGAUCCUCGCCCACCACUAGUCUCGACACCGUGAUAAACACCAAGGAGGCGGCAGAGGAGACGGACGCCACGAACGCGUCGCCCAUGUGGGGUCGCAAGUUGAGGAGCAGCCAAAAUCAGAGGCAUGGCGGAGGAGGAGUGGCGGCCAGCUCCAGCCAUACCACGGAGAACACCUCAAUGGUGUUUAACUUCUCCAAGAGCACCAAGGAGGUGCCCGACUACAUCGAAAGCGACGUUGUGAUCUUCAGGCCCAAGCGGGAGCUGCCAAAGCCAAACGAGCCGGGCUUCGUGCUGCUGGGUGAUCUAUCCGUGGAGACGUCGACGGAUAUGGACUUUGACGAAUACUCCUUGUGCCGGCCGCCAUCGCCGUGCGAUGUGGAGUUCGAGAAUGCCAACAUUGUGAUUGACGGCAAGUCCAGCAUACGCCAGAAACCCAAAGAGUCAACGUUUCGCGUGCAGUUCAACGACACGCUGACGUCGACGUUUGAAUAUCCCUCCGAGGCAUCGAUGACCAUCGACGAUCCGCCGUAUGCCGAUCCGUUUGGACAUGUGAGCAACCAUCACAAGAUGCUCAUUGCCGAGCAGAUGUUGCAGCAGCAGCUGGACCUCGAGCAGAUACGACAGCUGGACCAGCAGCAGCAUCACCCGCAACAGCAGCAGCAUCAUCACGUGACUGUCGACGAAAUCAUUGAGCUGCCCACAUCGACGGCGGUGCCUGGACAUGGACAUGGACUCGGGCAUGGGCACAGGGCGGGGGCAACGGCGCCGGGGGGCGGAACGAUGCUGGGGAAUUUACCGUUGGAUUACCCAAGUUUAGGGAGGGGUAUUAUCUUGCAACAGUCGCCACAGCCACAGCAGCCAGAACCUCCAGCAGGCACACCACCACCACCGCCACCCAGAGCGGCAGCAGCACAACCAACGCUACCAACACUACCAUUGCCAGAGGGUGUGGAAGCCGCUGCCCCAAUCGACCCCACAACCGCCCACCAGCGCCCCCAGCUCCCUGCGAAGCCGCAGCCACAGCAGGGCCUGCGUAGGGCCAGGCCAUCGGUGCUGCUGAAGCCGCAGUACGCCUGCUUCCUGCAGCAUGAUGCAGCCGCAGCACCCAAAUCCUCGCCAGCUCCGCGCAAGGCUGCCUCCUUUACGUUGGGCAAUCAGCAGCACCAGCACCAUCGCCAGCCAAAGGAGCAUCUACAGCCGCAGAGUAAAUAUGAAACACCCAGGAGGAGGAGUCAAGGCAGUAGUAGUAGUGGCGAGAGUGACCAGCUCCAGGCACCGGCCACAGAUCUCCAGAAGCUACAGCAGCAACUGCAGCAGCGACGUCGUCGGCCAAGUCUGCCGUCGUCGCUGGCUUUGUCCAAUGCCAGCACCGCCCUACUCCAGACACGCAUUCCAGGCACCACGCUCUACUAUGUCUGAUGGGCUCUAGACUCCGUAUCCGUAUCUGUAUCCGCAUCCGCCAACGCCACCGAUCCACGAAUCCCUGCAGCCAGCGAAACAUAUUAUUUAAAUGUAACAGAAUACAUAAGCAAAAGAGCGUUGAAAUAAUAUCUAUUGUUUAUACCAUCAUCAAAAAAUCUAUGAUAACGAAACAAGCAAAAGGCAAAUAACCCAAACCAAAACAAAACCGAUAAUAAAUUAAACAACAGCCGCUGAACCCGAACUAAAAUCUAAAACUAAUUCAAAAAUAAUACAUAAAUCAAAAGCAAACGAUAAUAACCCAAUAGUAACCCGAUAGUCCGAUAAUCUAAACCCGAUAACCCGAUUAUAAGCGAUCAAGUGCGAAACAGUAACAGAAAGCCACAAAGAAACACCUCUAACCCAGUGCACUUGCUCUGCCUGCUCCGCUGGGCAGUCAAAACUAAUCGCCAAUUCAUAUUUAACAUUAA